AUUGAACGCUGGCGGAAUGCUUUACACAUGCAAGUCGAACGGCAGCGCGGACUUCGGUCUGGUGGCGAGUGGCGAACGGGUGAGUAAUGUAUCGGAACGUGCCCAGUCGUGGGGGGAUAACGUAGUGAAAAUUACGCUAAUACCGCAUACGAUCUAUGGAUGAAAGCGGGGGAUCGCAAGACCUCGCGCGAUUGGAGCGGCCGAUAUCAGAUUAGGUAGUUGGUGGGGUAAAGGCCCACCAAGCCAACGAUCUGUAGCUGGUCUGAGAGGACGACCAGCCACACUGGAACUGAGACACGGUCCAGACUCCUACGGGAGGCAGCAGUGGGGAAUUUUGGACAAUGGGCGAAAGCCUGAUCCAGCCAUUCCGCGUGCAGGAUGAAGGCCCUCGGGUUGUAAACUGCUUUUGUACAGAACGAAAAGGUUUCUACUAAUACUAGGAGCUCAUGACGGUACUGUAAGAAUAAGCACCGGCUAACUACGUGCCAGCCGCCGCUGUAA
rnacentral:rRNA from 1 species